GCAGAACCAAUUUCAAUAUAAAAUUUAUUUUACAAAUUUAAUCAUCAUCAUUUUGUGUAUUACCGUUAAACCCGAGUCGAGUCGAUCCGAUCAAAUCAAAAAUUUACAGAGGGAUAUAAUAUAACAACAUAAAAACUUGACAUGCGGUGCUGCAUCCAAUUUGACAAGAAAGUAAGAAAAGAAAGAAAGAGAAAGGGAGAUAAGAUGUCAGUCCUAAAUUACAGAAAAACCAUCGUCAGGGCGUCACUCCGUGAGAACUUUCCAAAAGAAUCCAGCUGACUAUGUCCUCUUGCGAGCCGCACAUGCAUGCAACUCCCGUGGCCGGCGAUCCUGACCCCACGGGAACAUUUACGCUCUCCAGAUUCCUUCCCCACUUUCGCCUUUCCCUUCCCUUCCCCUCCUGAUCUUGCUCAAAUUUGUAAAAAAUGACCUAAAAAAUUGUAGGAAAACUUUCUUUCCCACAAUUUUCUUUUUCUUUAAAAAAAAUUGGGAAGAAUCUCACUUAGCCUCGAGACCGUACGAAGACGAGCAGAUGGAAUU
rnacentral:lncRNA from 1 species